UGACUUGGUGGGCAGGUCGCAAAUGACAG
rnacentral:sRNA from 1 species